CACACACACACACCACAGCCAAGGAUGCCUGGCUUUGCCUUAAGGGCUUCCUGGGUUGGACUUCCUGCUUCAGUGAGCUCAGGAGGCCUGUAGUCUGAGGGGCCUAUACUUGGCCGAGGUCUGGAGACUGAGAGUGCGGGGCAUUUCCUGUUAGGAGUUCGUUGUCUGUUGAGCCUCAGGGUAGAACUGAGGCCAUAGCUGGGUGUGGAAAAGAAGGAAGGGCCUUCUUAGCCCUUUCUUAGGCUUUGCCACUAACACUCUCACCCCAUUAAUUCAGUGCCUCAUGAUGUCAGAAGAACGGAGGCGUAGCAGAAAGGUCCCGAGGGGGUGUGGGCUUACGUCUUCUAGGGAGCCCAACCCGGGAAGUGGUCCUUAGUGCUAGGCCAGCUGUGGGCCAAGCUGGGCGCUGCUCCCCACCCCUGCCCUGAAGUAUUUAUAGAAGCUAGUCUGGGAAUUUUCUCUCUGAGCUCCAGGCACAUUCCUGGGAUUCUGUUAACAGCCUUUCCAGCCGGGAAGCUGGGAAUCAGCCGGGAGGCUGCGGGAGUCGGCAGGGCCCUGGAGGCCCCGCUUGAAGCCACCGGGACUGCGUUCAGGAGCCACUGCACUGGAGGGGUCUUCUUCAGGCACUCUUGGGGAGACUACAUGCUUCUAGGUCAGUGCUGGCUCCAGGUUUGCUCCCUCAACCUGUCCAACCAGACGGGGACACAGCCGUCGAGUCCCAUACCCCUUCUAGAACACAGCUACUAGAGUCACCGGCCAGUUCUACUUUCCCGUCGGAGGCAAAGGGCACCUAGUGUCCAGUUGAUAUGCUACCCUGGGUUUCUUGAAAGGCCCUUGCUGAGAAGCUGGGGCUCAGAAUUCAUACAACCUAAGAAGAGAUCCGGCAGCAGGAAUGGGAAGUGAGCAGGGAAUCUUCGCUUGGUUCCGUUUUCAGGAACCAGUGGGUUACAAAGCAAUAAAGACACUUCGGUCCAGCUUCUCCCUGGGCUCCCAUCCUCUCAAGGGAUUUCUGAGUGCGUGCCUGACCUCCUCAAACCCAACUUGAAACCCAGCUUCUAUAGCUUCCUGUCAGAGGGGAAUAAGAUCUGGCAACGGAGACCGCCGCCCACAUGGGACCCUGUGCUCCAACCCUGUGUUCUCCAGAGCCAGAUGUUAGAGCUGCUGCAACAGCCAUUCUCAACACUAAGGGGUAUCCGAUGUGAACCAAGACCUCUCCAUGGUCCCACUGACUGUGGGUUCCUACGUGGCCCUUCAGUGACCACUCUGUCCUCAUCUCUCUGUUCUCUGGAAGCAGCAAGGAAAACAGGGGUGAAAGGUCAUCUGUAGAGUCUUACUCUGUCAGAGUAGGGAACACAUUACUGCUUCCCUAACAAGAGACUCUUCACUGGAUGAAUAAGCACACUCAAGGUUCAGAGAUAGGCUCACCUACCCAUGACCACCCAAGGAAGAAGGUAGCUAGGUCAGGAUAAGCGCUUCUCAACUACCAAACCUCCCCACUACGGGUGCCGGCGUGUCACUGUGUCCCUGGUAUGCAAAUCCUGUGUCCAUGUCCCAGAACUGGGCCCAGGGGCUCUUCUCAAUGUACACUCAUGCCAGAUUUGACAUGGUUCACCUCUGAGACCCUUGAGUCCCACCAGGAAAGAGAACGCCCCUGGAAAGAAAGAGGCAGCCCAAUGGCUGAGGAGAGGCUGAGGACCCUCAUACAAGGCGAUUUUUGGAACUGCGGAGAGUCUGGAUUAUCUCCCAGGGUAAGGCUUUAACGAGUGGCCAUGGAUCUUGAGAGCAGACCACAUACAGAACUUCACAGCAACAUGGAAGCCACAAAACAAACAAACAAACAAACAAACCCAAAAAACUCAUCCCUUCCAGAGUUCUUCCUCCAUCAGUGCAGACUCUGAUGGGAGGGAAACAGCUCACGCCUACAAGACAUAUACAGAUGUCUCUCAUAGCAGAGCGGGCAGGAAAUCACCUCCUAGAGAUGCCCGGAAGCAUCAUCGACAUCAUCAUCAUCAGCAGCAGCAGCAGCAGGCACCUGCCGGGGUGAGGGGGAUGAGAAGGGAGGUCUUGGGAGGGGAGAGUGGCUUACCAGGCUGUGCAUGAUGCGCACGCCGUCCGGGUUUACGGUGAGAGCCUCCUUGUACAGCUGCUUGGCCUCUUCGAAGCUGCCCUUCACCUCAGCUAGUCGGCCUCGCAUGUAGAGUACCGAGUGAGAGGUGGGGAAGAGGCCAGCAGCCUCCUGGAUGCAGAAACCCGCUUCCUUGAGUUGUCUCUGCUCCAUGAACAGCUCAGCUGUGAGAGUAGAGGGGCAAAGUGUGAGUGGGGGGCGGGGAGUCACAGGCAGCGGCCCAGACCCUCAUCCCUGAGCCAGGAAGUCAACAGAGGACACCACAGAGUCACAGCACAGGGCCACCUCUCUGGGAAUUGUAAGGGUAACAGUGGGUACUGUCAGUCACCGCGCUGGGUACUUCACACAAACUGCUUUAGUCAAUGCCACAGAAACCCUGAAGAAAGUACUUUUGCUAUCCCACGUUAGAAACAGGAACAGCAGAGGGAACAAAGUAACUGACAGGGUCACAGUGUGUGUCAGGCUAUCUGACGCUAGGUCCGGAGGGUGGGCAGGCGGUGGGGAAUGGCUUGGCCCAGCUUGCUUGCAUGUCUUUGACAUGUUUCAGUGUCUGUCUGCUUCUCUAGACAGACGGCAGCGUGGCAACAGACCAGGUGACUCUCCUGGAGGUCUUUUUGUCUUGAGGCACAUUAACCAAGGGGCUUACUGGGCCCUGGCAUGCUCAGGAUGAAAUGGGAGUGUGCCUGAAGCCCAGGAGGAGCCAUGCACUGUGAAGGACAGAGGCCAAGAGUUCCGGGGCCUCUGAGGAGGCCCACAGUAAAGACCAAGAGUUGCUAAACACUUUCCAGCAAGUCACUCGUUGACAUUUCUGCACCAAGCACACAGCUUGUGGGUGCCUCAUAGCCUCUGGCCCACCACGACCGCAAAGUCGGCUCCAGAAGUCAUGGACUAUCUGCGGAGAACCCACUACGUGCCGCACCAACUGUUUCCAUGUGAGUCAUCUCAGACUGGGGCUAGCCGGUUGUCAGGCGGCACGGGGCUUCCGGAAACCUAUCCCUCCAGCUGCCGUUCGCUUGUGGGAGCAGUGUUGGCUGCUGACCAAAAGGUACGGCACCUGGACACCUGCCUCCAUGUCGUUAGCCCUCAGGACUAUUUUAUCCUCUCCUGACCAAGACUUUCCCCCCACUGGGCAAA